rnacentral:rRNA from 2 species
GACGAACGCUGGCGGUGUGCUUAACACAUGCAAGUCGAACGGUAAGGCCCUUUCGGGGGUACACGAGUGGCGAACGGGUGAGUAACACGUGAGUAACCUGCCCUCAUCUCUGGGAUAACAGUCGGAAACGGUUGCUAAUACUGGAUAUGAGCUUGCAAGGCAUCUUGUGGGUUGGAAAGAUUUUUUGGUUGGGGAUGGACUCGCGGCCUAUCAGCUUGUUGGUGAGGUAGUGGCUCACCAAGGCUUCGACGGGUAGCCGGCCUGAGAGGGCGACCGGCCACAUUGGGACUGAGAUACGGCCCAGACUCCUACGGGAGGCAGCAGUGGGGAAUAUUGCACAAUGGACGGAAGUCUGAUGCAGCAACGCCGCGUGCGGGAUGACGGCCUUCGGGUUGUAAACCGCUUUCAAUUGUGACGAAGCUUUUGGACGUAGCAGAGAGA